GCGUUGUUCGGAAUACUGGGCGUAAAGGGCGCGUAGGCGGCUUCUUAAGUCACAGGUGAAAUCCCACGGCUCAACCGUGGAACUGCCUGCGAAACUGUAUAGCUUGAGGACAGGAGAGGAAAGCGGAAUUCCUGGUGUAGCGGUGAAAUGCGUAGAUAUCAGGAGGAACACCAGUGGCGAAGGCGGCUUUCUGGCCUGGUCCUGACGCUGAGGCGCGAAAGCGUGGGGAGCAAACAGGAUUAGAUACCCUGGUAGUCCACGCUGUAAACGAUGAGCGCUAGGUGUUGGGGGGUUCAAUCCCUUCAGUGCCGCAGGUAACGCAAUAAGCACCCCGCUGGGGAGUACG
rnacentral:rRNA from 1 species